UUUGACCCAACCCACUUCCAGGCAAGCCUUUAAAUUUGGAUCAGGUGGGCAGCUGUAGCUUGGAUGGUUCCUUAGCAGAGAGGCUGUUGGUUCCUGUGCUCUCUUCAUUCUUUGCCAAAUCUGUGUGUUCUGGGAUGCUUUUGCCUUCAUUACCCAUGGGUGCAAAUAUCUGUAUAAGGUUAGAGGUGCACAGAAAACAGCUGAUCUCUCCAUUGAGCAGAAGAUUACAUGUGAAUUUCAGGUCUGGUGGCCAAAAAUGAGAGAAAUCUCUUCUGCUCAAGUGACAAGCUUGGAUGCAUUCCUCAGUGCAACAUGCAGAGGUAUUUAUUCAUGACAGAAAGAAAAUCUGAUAGAACAUAAUCCCAGGUAUUUCACCUUGUGUGGUGCAAUGGAACAGAUGAAAACUGCCAUUUUCCUCCUCAAAAUGCUGAACUGCUCUUACAGAUGCCUUGUGUGCCCACAGCUGUUCAGUGCUGCUGAAAGAAGCAGGAGGGAAAAGAAGAAUGGAAACACAGGUUCAUCAGCAGGUAUUGUCAUAGCUGUUUAGUGAGUUUGCUAAACUGCAGCUGAGACUUUUUCUUUUGAAAGGAGAGUCUGGCUCGGUAGGGGAGGAGCUGCUUGUUGGUCUCUCUCCAUCCUUGGAGGAUUGCUCCUCCCCAGAGGAUGGCUGAGCCUGCACAGGAGCUGCUGCACUGCUUGGAGAUGGAGGAGCUGUGAACAUCUGGAGGUUUGUUCCAGCCAGCACUUCUGCAUGAUAAAGGAUUAUGGACAAGUUUCAGCCUUGGGGAACACCACUCUGGGCUUGCAGGUUGGUUUCAGACCUUUCUGUUUAGUGCCUUGCCCAGCAAAUCCAAAAUUACUGUUUCUGAGGAUUUUAUUGUUGUCUUUUUUGGCUUUCCCAAUUUUCUUUUUUUUUUUUUUUUUUUUUUUACCUUUAAGUGCCAGUAUCAGGAAUUGAAAGUCUUUGGUAUCUGUCAAAGUGCUUGCUUUUUAAAAGAGUUAAGUGAUUUGCUCUUCCUUUUAAAAUCAUGUUAGAUUGUGAUUAUCAUUCACAUGUCCAGCUUGCUUUUUGUCUUGAAUUUUGUAGGUUCUUCAGGAACUGUGAUCUCUUUCCAGUUAUGUAAAACAGCCUGAGUUGAAACAUAAAGUAAAACUGAACUGUGUGUGCACAGAGAUCAAUGUAUUGAAUAAAAAAAAAAAAAAUCAGCGUUUUGCUGUGUGCAUAGCUCAGAUUUCUUGGUUCAAGCAAUUAAAUUUAUUUUCUGGGAAAGUCCAGGUCUUUUAAAACAACAAAAACAUCCCAGCGGGGAAAACAAAAUUCUGUCCCAUCCCCCAUUUGGGAAAACAAGCAGAGCAAGGCACUGGAAUGUGUGGAAGUGCCCAAGUUAAUGGCACACCAACCUUAGCUCUGCCUCCGUGCCCUCCCAGUAGGAGGAAAUCCAGUGAUUGCUCUUUUUGCCAAAAGAACCCUGAAUCUUCCAGAAAACAGCUCAUGAUUUAGGGGCAGCCUGGUAGCAGAAGGUGCUUAUUGACUCAGACUUGGCCAAAGGAAGAGAAUUUGUAGUUAGUAAUGGGUAAGUAAAAAAAAUCAACUGUGUUGUAAAAACUGAUGUGCAUCCCGUGUGCUCUUAAGCCAUUAGAAGGUGUUUUACUUCAUCAGAAAAUCUUCUGUUUGGAGCUGCUCUGGGAAAGGCCUUCUUUUAGCACUUGAUAAUGACCCAUCCCUUGCCUGUGCUGUUAUUCCAAGUGUGUUUGCUGCUGAAUAGGUACCAUGAGGACAUUAUGGCCUCAUGAGCUUCUGGCUAAAAUAAUUUGUUUAUGAGCAGGGAUAUGACUUCAGUGAGGCUGAGGUGUCACCAUAAUUUAGGAGUGAAGACGACACCCUCGAAUUUCUUCUAAGGAAGAGAAUUAAAUUAAGAGCUCAGCCUUUCCAGACAUCAUCUGCCUUGGUUUGGGGAUGGCCAGAAAUGGAGCUCUGGGGUAUUUAUGUGAUCAGCUGGCUCAAAUCAAUCUCCUUCGAGUCAAACAGCAAUAAUUCUGUAUUCACUGCAGAGUGAACCUGUCUCCAGUUCCAGCAGUGGGUUCCUGGCAGGAUUUUGGGAGCACCAGCAUUGUCCCUGUAGGACAGGAGUGUGCCUUGCAGCAGACAACAGAGUCUUGUUAGGAGAGAAAAAUGAAUCCAGACACUGCCAACAACAACUUUGUUGUGCUUCUGCCAUUGUGAAUUGCAACUCCUGGUUAUUUUCUUCCCAUCUGAAGCUAUUCUGGGCUGGGCUGUGCCUGCACUUCAGAUCUCUGCUGUGCAUCUUUAGCACCUGAAAUUAAAGGGUUUCAGCCAGUUGGUUUAUUGUGACAUGCUAGCAGCCUUUUCUCUGCACUGCACCUUCAGAAGAAUGAAUUUUAAUGAGACUAAGCUAGCAGAAGACCCAUAAAGAAGAUGCAAUUAUGUUUUAAGCAUUCAUAAAAGAAGUUACAUUAAAUUUACACAUUUUGAUUUUUGUCUGUGACAGUCAAAAGAAUUAAGAGUGAGAGCAUAUUGCAGGAGCACAAAGUGGUGAGGACUGGAAGGCACCUCUGGAGAUUCUCUAGUCCACCCUCUGUGCACUCCUUACAAAAAAAGAAGAAAAAAGGGUUCUUGUUCUACAGGAAAUAUUCUCACUCUGGCUGUAGGUUUUGAUAACCAUGAUGUAGUUUUGCUAUGUAGCAGAAAGUAACCUUUCAUCUUCAGAUAAAGGACACAAUUAAUUGACCUCUUCAUCCCUCUAGCAGAUCCCAGACAUGCCCAGAACCCUUGAUGUGCAGGGGGAAAAGCAAUUUUAAUUGUACUUAUAUAAGUCUGUGAUGCCUGAUGGAUGUUUAUUCCUGUCCUAGCUGACACCAUGCCCUACCAGAAUGUUUUAAAAGAGAAGAUGAGCAGACAAGCACAGAACUCUGUGAUCUCCUUGAUGAGUUGGAGUUUACAAGAGCUGUUCACUUGGGUCCCUCCAGUUCAGGGCUGUUUAGGGGCAGGUGUCUGUCACACAGGAUUGAACCAAGCUGUCCUUUAUUUCAGCACAGAGAAACAAAAACUCACCUUGGAGCACACAGAGCAGAGGUUGGCCUCUCUGUGGAAGGUGUGGGUAUAUCAGUGACUGGCUGGUGACAUUGAGACAUUCAGAAAGGCAAAGUGAAGCACCUUGAACUGCUGGGUACUUACCUGCUGUUGAAUAUCCUGCACUGUUCCAUGAAGUAUUUAUUCAAGUCAGUGACUUCUGCUGAAAACUGGAAAUGAAAUAACAACUCCUCUUUCUUCUAAUACUCUGCAGAAAAACACAGAAACAAAAAGAAACCCAACACUCUCUGGAGGUGAGAAGUUUCUGGUGGCACCAGAAAUCAGUUAAUACAAUUUGAAUUUGUAUAAAACCACGAGGAUACACAGCUCCUGUUCCAGUGCUUGGAGUGAAGAUGAUAAUGAUGGUUGAGAGAAGGCCAUGGAGAGGUGCUGGUGGACAAGAAAAUCACUACUAUUGCAUGAGGAAUCUACUGCAUGAAAAAAAUAUAUAUUGUCCUCAUCUGGGAAAGCAAAAUCUGCAUCUCAAGAGUAAAACAGUUUCUCACCAAUGCAGAAGAGUUCUUGGGUUUGAUUUUUCCAUUCUCUACUUUGACUUUCAAGUUGUGCCUCAUGCAUGCCUAAGCUGGAGAUGUGUGGGCAUCCUGAGGACUGUAACAGAUUUUCAAGACUUGCCUGAAGCAUACACAGAGCUGAACUGACACAGAGUUUACUCAACACUGAGCUGGAACCAAAGUCACAGAGGUUGCAUUCUAAGAGCUGUGCAGAGAAUUUGGGCAGAGAACUGUGCUUGCACACCCACCUGGAUCAUUCCAGUAACAGGGUGACUGGGCCCCAGGCUGAGGCUGCCUGAGUGCUGGUUGCAGGAGUUAAAGCUGCCAGGGCAGUGCUAUAAAAGGACAAUGU